GACGAACGCUGGCGGCGUGCCUAAUACAUGCAAGUUGAGCGAUGAAGAUUGGUGCUUGCACCAAUUUGAAGAGCAGCGAACGGGUGAGUAACGCGUGGGGAAUCUGCCUUUGAGCGGGGGACAACAUUUGGAAACGAAUGCUAAUACCGCAUAACAACUUUAAACAUAAGUUUUAAGUUUGAAAGAUGCAAUUGCAUCACUCAAAGAUGAUCCCGCGUUGUAUUAGCUAGUUGGUGAGGUAAAGGCUCACCAAGGCGAUGAUACAUAGCCGACCUGAGAGGGUGAUCGGACACAUUGGGACUGAGACACGGCCCAAACUCCUACGGGAGGCAGCAGUAGGGAAUCUUCGGCAAUGGACGAAAGUCUGACCGAGCAACGCCGCGUGAGUGAAGAAGGUUUUCGGAUCGUAAAACUCUGUUGGUAGAGAAGAACGGUGGUGAGAGUGGAAAGCUCAUCAAGUGACGGUAACUACCCAGAAAGGGACGGCUAACUACGUG
rnacentral:rRNA from 1 species